GUGUGUGUCCUUGUCCGUGUUGAGCACCGGUCGCGGGAUCCCGCUAGGCCUAGCGGGCUCGCUCCCACCUCGGUGCGCAAGUGCCAAAUGGGUGACGAUUGGGUAGCUGAGGCCCACGGGCCGAUGAUGACAUUCACCUAAUCGGUGAACGUCGCAGCCACCCCCGGUGUGCCCCUGAUCCCCAGGCCAAGAGGGAAGUGGGCCCGCAGUGAGAGUAUUUCUUGUUCCCUUUAGCCGGCAAGUUCUGGGCGGAGGUCCUGAAGACACGUCCUCUGAAAUCAACGCUGCGCGGGAGGAGCGUGUGUCCGGACGGAGGAACCUACACACCCCUUUAAAGUCGGAGACAGAGUCGUGGUGAAGGUGCUCCCCAGGAACAAGAGCCCAGGAGACUUCACCUAUGGUCCAGAGACAGAGGUCGUAGCAGUUACCCGAACAGCAGUCCUGACAGAGGAAAGUCCUACCUGGAUCCAUGCAUCCCGAGUAAAAAAGGUUCCUAGACCAGACCUAGAGAGGGAAGCAAGUGAUUCCAGUGAGGUACGAACCGGGGCAGACAGCCCUGACCUCCCACCUAGCGAAGAAAGAAGAACAGAAGAAGAUGAGGAACCUGUCCCCUAUCUUUAUCCUGGGGACUACCUUGAUAGCCCUACUGGCCCUCACUCACCACACAAUAUGUGAGGUUGAUAUUACACAGACUAAUGGGAUCCCCACCUUGUGGUACAAUUCCUCCAAUACACACGUAGCCACAUAUAUCCUUGACUAUUUUAUGUUCCCCAAAAUUGCUGAUGACAAAUAUUAUAUACAACAAAGGAGGAAAUCAGGAAUGUCUGAGACAGUAUAUAUUUGUGUUACUGACGAAUGGUACUAUGACAAUAGAUAUUAUGGAUCUAAUUGUAAUUCCUGGGAAGCUGUGGGGUGGAAUACAGGAGUAGAUUGGAAAUAUGGCCCAUCGUUUGCAAAGAAUAGAUGGAGCAAAUAUGGAGUACCCCUACUUUCUAGACUAUCCAUUCAUAAGAUGGAUGAAGGCCCAAAUUCAUACAGGUUUAGACUAAACAUAAUGAACCCUAGCAGAAGCGACAAUGAGACUUAUGUACUUGGUAUAUGGUGGCAAGCAGGGUAUUAUAGUGCAAGGCAAAUGUUUUAUUUAUGGGAUAUGUAUAAAAACCCAAAAUACCAGCCUAAAAUUGCUCCCCAAAACAAACCUUUAAAGCCCCAUAUUGCCACUUUUAAAGAUAUGGUGGCUAUUACUAACCCUACCUUUGAAGACACCCUAGCUAUUGAAACUGGUUUCUCUGACAUUAAUUUUUGGUUGGAAUGGAUGAAGUAUAGUGCUAACAAACACAAUAAAAGCAACUGUUAUGUCUGUGGCAAAUCUAGGCCCCACCUAGGUACAGUGCCCCUUAAUAUACCCCUAGAACAAGAAAAUUGUUUUUUUUCAGCCUUUUUAAUGACACCAAAACAAAUGACAGUCAGUGCGAAAUGUGGAAAAGGGAAUAUCCCAUAUUGUCAAAAAAUCCCAACCCAGGAAGCACCAUAACCAUAUAUCCUGGAAACUACACUUGUUAUACAUCUAACACCACAACAGGGAGAAAUUUAAAAACCUUCCCACCAGGGUAUUGUGCAAAUAAAAGAACAACUGUUUUAGUCAACCAAACUAGAUCAUUAGGCGACAUUUAUUACAUAUGUGGGAAACUGUAAAUAAAAACGUAGCCUGGAUUAAUUAUAUAUAUUAUAAUCAACAAAGAUUUGUUAAUGAUACCAAAGAUGCUCUUAAAGGUAUAGCUGAACAGCUAGAAGCCACUUCCCAAAUGACAUUCCAAAAUAGAAUGGCCCUUGACAUGAUCCUAGCAGAAAAAGGCGGUACAUGUGUUUACAUUAGUAAGGUGGAAGGCUGUUGUACAUAUAUUCCUGACAACACUGGUCCCAAUGGUAAGGUUACUUUAGCCAUAAACAAGUUAGAAACCUUAUCCAUAGAACUUAAGAAAAAUUCAGGUAUUGAUAACCCAUGGAGCCAAUAUUUUGGAUGGUUUGAAAAUUGGAAACUGGCUCUUGUGCAAAUAAGCAUAUUCAUACUUGUAACUUUAAUUCUUGUAGGCAUUAUAGUUUAUUGUGUAAUUCCCUGUGGAAAGAAACUUACCUCCAAAGGCAUUGAUAAGGCCCUGAUGUAUUAUGACAUAACCACCAGUCCUGUCACCUCCUCUGAUAGUAAGGGACCCGACGAUUAUGUCCAAUAUCUCAAGAACUGGAGAAACAAGAAAGGAGCCUCACUCAAGAAUCAUGUCAUAUAAUAAUCAUGAUUCUAAGAGGGGAUUGAAGGGUUACCUCUUCUGUCUUUGUACAUAUUACUUUUUAUAUGAUCAGUUUCCUUAUAAUAAUUACAGUGUAAAAGUGAAUAUUUCUAUUUCCCUAGUGAAGGGUUAAAACAUGCUUUAUGAACUCUUAUGUGUUUGCAAUGGAUGCUGCUGCCCUGUGUUAGAUGCCUUUGUCUCUCAUACAGAUACCAGGCUUGUGUGGGUCUGGCAUCCAAGGUCAGCUCUCUACUAGAUGAAACCUGCUUUUUCUACUUCUGUGUGUUACUAAAAGAUCCUUUGUUAAGUUUCGUCUGAUGCAACAUAUAUAACAUCUGCCUGGCAACUGCUAUAUCCAAUUAUGUUAUGUCAAGUAUUAACCACCCCUACGUACCCCACCCAGGCACCUACCCCUAAGCCAAUGAGCCCUUUUACACUUGUCAGUUCCACCCAUAUGCAUUGUCUUAUAUACUCUUGUUAACUUUAUAAUAAACAGUGUGAAUUUUAA